rnacentral:SRP_RNA from 1 species
GCCAGGCGUGGUGGUGGGCGCCUGUAAUCCUAGCUACUUGGGAGGCUGAGGCAGGAGAAUUGCUUGAACCCAGGAGGCGGAGGUUGCAGUGAGCCGAGAUCGCGCCACUGCACUCCAGCCUGGGUGACAGAGCAAGACUCAGUCUCGG